CAAAACCAAUAAUUGCUGGACACAUUGACAAAAAGCCAGUUAGGGGGCAGUCCCCUUUGGCAUGAAAGUAUACAUACAAAUAAAUGUUCAAUCAACUACACCCAAAGUUCAUUCUUGAUCUUCUUGUGCAGCUUGUGGUCUGGAGGCUUCUUCAUGGUGUCUUCUCCAACAGUUCAGUUUCUGGAUUCAGAGAGUCCACAUGGCUAAUCCUAGCCUAAGGGAAAAUUACCCCAUUUAUUACCAGCUGGUUUUUGAUCCUGAAGAAAUUGGGUCUGCUAUCAGCAGCCUGGGGUGAUGGGCGGUCUGCUCCGAGGCUACAGUUUGCUGGGGUUCAGCUGGGCCAGGUGAGUGAGAGAAAGACCAGGACCCAGAGCCAUCACAGAAACAGGCAGGCAGUGGCUGGGAGGGAGGGGUGGCAGAGCAGGAGUGAUUAAAACAGGUCCAGAUUACAGGCAACAAUAGUGGAGCCGAGCUGGGCUGGGGGGAGGGAAGGGCUCAAGAAAGUCCGAAGUGGAGUUUUCUAAAAAAGUAUCUUGGAGAAACGUGGCUUAAAAAUCAUUAUCUAGGCUAUCUUUCAUUUGUUUUUUAAAUUUGAGAAGUUCUCAUCCAAUAUAGUGGUCGCCAUAACUGUAACAGUUAAAAUUGCCAAACUGUGGCAGGUAAAAAAUAGUUUCUCUAGAAGUAUUAUAUUUUUAUGAGGUUUAUUAAAGAUUAAGAACUUAAGAAAAUACAAGUGAGAAAACAUGUGCCUAGGUGGGCCAAAAGGCCUAUUCAAUUUCAUGUACAUCAUGAGAGACGCGUCUGCUUGAGGUGGCAACAGGAAAGAAGCAUGCCUAAGUGGAUACAGUCAGUUUAAAUACCUCAUCUCGCUCUUGGUCCAGGUGAGGUUACAAGGCAUUUUGGGAAGUGAGCAAGGACUUCUGGGAAAUGGAGUCCCAGGUUCAAGUCUCUAUUUUUACAGGAUGAGGUUCAGAACUGAGCAGUGGGGCUUUUGUUGUUGGCCUCCUUUAUGUAGUCUUAGUGUAGACUAUGCUCCCCUCUCACUCCAGUAAAACAGAUCCUUUCUCCCUAAAUUCCAAACCUUCUUCUGCAGAAAACUUGCCUCAUCCCAUUCCUUCGCUAGUUUUGCUACUCUAGAAUUUGUUUUGAAGCUUUAUUUUAAGAUUGGUUAGAGAAGCUUUUCAGAGAGUUUUGUGUUUUUCUUCCUUUGCUAUCUUGGCCCCACCCUAUAGCUAAGUAUUUAUUACUGGAUUGAGGGUGAUUUUCAAUAUAUGUAUUGUAAUAUAUUUGUGGGCAGAGCUUUGUCUCAAGGAAAUUGUCUUGAAAUAUAAAACAAAAGCAAAAAAAAAAGUGAAGCUUACCAUGAUUGAUUAGCAAGGAAAGGGAAAUUAUAAUAGUUUAUUUACCUCUAUAAGUCUUUUUUAUAUUUUGCAAUUUUUGUGAGUGAAAUAAAGUCUAUUUUACUUUGCUACCUUAAGUCUCU
rnacentral:lncRNA from 1 species